GCCAGUCUGAGAAAUUCUGGCUUGGAGCCACCAGGACGUGGCACAAUCUUCCCCAACCCUAUCCCAAGGUAGGUCCUUGUAUUUCCAACUUUCAUGGCUUGCAAGAGGGAUGGUGAGCGUAUGGCCAAAGCCCUCGGUGGUCACCAGAGGGAGAUCACACACAGUCUCCCACACCUUCCUCCUCCCUCUCUCUGGGUCCUUGGUAAUGACAUGACAGCUCCUCCCCUGACCUUACACCCAGGCUGACCUGAGGCUUGCUUUAACCAGAGAAUCCGGUGGAGGUGAGGCUGCUGGGUCUGUCCCAGCCAGGACCCCAUGGCCGGUGCUUUACUGGGUUCUUCCCUUCCGGCCCAGUGCCCUUGACGUGGAUAAAGUAAAUCAGAAACCAGAGCUCCUCCCCGCCAUGAGAAGAAAGCAUCUUGAUAGUGUUUCUAGUAGAAAGAGGGUGCAGAAGGGGUGGAAAGACGCAGGACAUUUUUAGAUCUCUGUCCUGAGUGGAGGGAAAGGGGGAUGCACAAGUCCCUGAGACUCCUUCAUUGGAAAAGAACUGCAGCUAGCUGGGAGGCUGAGAUCACCUGGACAGGGAGGGGUGCCUCGUCCCCUCCGUCAUGACUGGGUAGGAUCAGAAACCAUGCUCCGCUCUGCUCAGGAGCUCUGCUCAUCGGAAAGCAGCCACCACCAAGCUAUGCUACUCUGUAGCCCAGAGAUGCUGUGUCCCUUUCUCAAGCCACAGAGCCAUUGGAAGACGGGCUGGGACUGCCUGCUGAGCCGGCCCUUAGCCUCUUGGCUUCAGGGAAUAAAUACUGGGCCUGCAGCUGGCCUCUGCCUCCGGCUCCUCCUGGAAAAUCCCAGGACAGCUUCAUCUGGAUGUUUUUCAGAGUCAGGCUGGCUUCAUUUCUGUCCUGCUGGCCCUCGGCACUGUACCUGACAGAGGGGGUGAGAGGACAGGACCACUCAAAGAAGGAACUUUUCUGACAUUUUAUUACCAGGUGCAAGUUCAAAGUCCCAGGGCACAGCACAUAUGCUUCUUAUGAGGAGUAUUUAAACAUGUACAUAAGUGAUUAUAUGUGUACGCUUGUGCAUGUCAAUAUCUGUGUACAUGGGUGUGUGUAUGUGUGCAGUGUGAGUCCUUUAUCUACAGGAUUGUGAACUCCUUGAUGAUGUGGAAUGGAAGAUGAAUGGAUGGAUAGAUAGAUAGAUAGAUAGAUAGAUAGAUGAUAGGAUGAAUGGAUGGAAUGGACAGACUGUGGGUGGAUGGAAAGAUGGAUGAACCAACAGGCAGAUGUGGGGGUGAGUGGAUGGAUGGAUGGACAGGAAGACAGACCCAUCACCUCUGACCCUCAGCUGGUGGUUUGUUCAUAGCAGGCCAGCUAAUAUGGAAAGAAGGCAGAGUUCACAUUGGUCUUUGUCCCUAGAGGAACACAGAGGAACUGGAAGAAGGCAGCAGAGAACUCUCAGGGCUUGAAACCAGUGGUCUUGACCACGCAUUUCUCUGAUCUUCAGUUUUCUUCUCUGUAAGGAAAGAAUGUCAAGCAUGGAGUCUGCUCCCAGGGGUAAAUGGGGAAUUAAGCCCAAAGGAUCAUGUUCGGAGGUUCACAGAGUGGACAGGCCCAGGGACGUGGUCUAGACAGGGACCAGGUCCAAUCCUGGCUGUGCCACUUAAGUGCUGGGGGACCCUGAGGAAGUUGCUCGAACACACCCAACUGGGGAGGAAGUUGCUCCUUGUUAGAGCUGGGGCUCUGUGUGGAGAAGCACCAGGUGCUCUCAGCAACAGUCACCAUACCGUUGUCCCUGCAGAAGGCCUGGCCCCACCUCUCACGCUGCACAGGCAGAGAGCUGUGCAUGGAACCAGGGCAGGACCACAGAGAGGGCUGAAGGUGACAAAGGCUUCCAUAGGGCCACACAGGGAAUGGGGGAGGCCAGGAGAGGCCAAGAAGGCCUCCCUGGAGGAAGAAAAGAGCAAUUGUAGGGAAACUCAUCCUGCCCAGCUGACCUCCCGAAAAGGGGACAUAGUGACACGGCGAGAAAAGAGAAAUGGUUUUAAAACUACCAAAGAGUUGCCACAUCUUGGGGGGGAUGUUCAUAUUGGCUAACCCAUAGAUGGGAUUCCUGGAGAAGGGGAGGGAGCCCAGAUGCUGGACACAGCUGUCAACACAGUGUCCGGGGCCAUGGCUUCACAUGGACCUGGAGUGGGACCAGGUCCCAUGUGACAGCUGAUCUGGAAGGCUCUGCAUCCUGGGCAGGGAGAGCCUGGGGAAGCUGGGGGUCCUGGGUUCUUCCAGGCCUAGCUGGCCUCUUGUUCUUGUUGGAGCUUCAGAUAAUCAGGUCCCUUUGCCCAGCUGUGGGCCCAGCUCCACACCACCCUGUCCUUGUGUAUGUCGAGGGGUGCUCAGCCCUCUCAGAGACCCCGACCAUCUUGGCCCCUUACCACACUGCCGCUACUCACCCACCUCCCCAACUCUGGUCAUUAGCAAUUGGCCCAGACAGGGGCCUGACUCAGGGCAGGCAAUCCAUGAGUGGCUGGUGCCCAACAGGGGUCAGCCAGGUACUCUUUUUCAUGAACCUGAACUUGGAACAAACUUGCCAGCUCUCAGAGGAGACAGAAGGGAGGUGGGGGCUGCCUGUGCUAAGCCAUGGGUGAGCGUUCGAGGAGAGCAGGGGGUUUGUGGGAGAGAAAGGAGAGAGAGAAGGUGGGAUGCGGAGGAACUAGGGGAAUAGAAAGAGCAAGAAGGAGAGAGAGACGGACAGACAGACAGACACACCAAGCAAACUGAAAAUCACCUCCACAGAGUUCCAGAGCCGGUCUGUGCAAAUCUUCACCUUAAAUCCCAUUAUCUUAAAAAAAAAAAAAAAGUCAUGAACUUUAACUUCAUUUAUUUGUUUAUUUUCUAGCCUUCUAUAUUUUGAAAACAGUAUUAAAGGGAAAUUGGUUCAUGGAGCCCCCAAGGACACAAAAAAAUCACAGAAGUUCAAGUCCCUUAUCAUGAAAU
rnacentral:lncRNA from 1 species